ensembl:snoRNA SNORD115 Small nucleolar RNA SNORD115
GGGUAUGUGACGACAAACCAAAGUCAUGAAGAGAGUUGACGAUAUAAAAUCCAUGCUCAAUAGGGUUAUGCUGAGGCCC